rnacentral:lncRNA from 1 species
UUUUCAUCUACGUCUCUUCUAAGAUUAUUAAUAUCUUCUUAUCUUGAUUCACAUCUUUUUGUUCGACUUUCUUAUCUAUUAAGACUAUUUCUUUCCUCUUAUCUCCAUCUAUCUUUCUGAUUAAUCUCUUUUUAUCUCUAUCUACGUCCCAUUUUUUUUUGACUUCUAGAAUUAUUAAUCUUCUCUCAUUUCUACUUUUUGUCUGACUUUUUGAUAACUUUUUCUUUCUUC